CUCUGGGUACAGAGCCUCAACUCAUUGAACAGACUCACUUGUCAACCUUCAGAAUCUGCAGAUCAGCUACCACACAGAAGGCACUGUUCCCCAUUUACGUCAUCAGCUUCACUGCUGUACCUAGGAAUUUCUACUGUACUGUGCUUUACUCCAUGCACCAUCACUCACACUGAAAGACCUCUAACUGAAAAGAGGCAGCCUGCCUGAGUGGUUGCUAAUGCAAAAUAAUGGAAGAAGUAACCAAUAAAAGCCAACAUAUUG